rnacentral:lncRNA from 1 species
UAGGAAAUAUUAUUUCAACAUGCAAUCAAUAUAAAAAUGUUAAAUAUUUUACACAUUUUUUAAUCCUAAGAUUUCAAAAUCCAGUGUGUAUUUUAUACUUACAUCACAUCUCAGUUUGAACUUGCUACACUUAAAUGCUCAGGAGCCAUACGUGACCAGUAAGUAAAACAUCAGACGGUACUAUCUUUUUAAGUAGAAUUAGAAUUUUGCAAAGGCUUUGUGUAACAAUGAGCCAAUUAAAGUUCUCAGUUGAGUAAAGUGAUUCAGAAGAGGCCAGGUUAGGGUACAGCUAUUUCUGUUAUAUCUUUUAAAGUUAUAUUUUUCAAAGACUAUUGAGAGUAGUCACUUAAGCACAUCAAUCAGAAGUUUAAUAGCUUGUUCUGUGAAAUGCAUUGCCAAAGAACCCAUACGUUCAAUUUAAACAUGCCUCACUCUUCAAGACUUAAAAUCGAGCUUUCAGUUCUCAACUUUUCAUGGACAAGAAUCAGCUUUUAGGUCUAUAUAGGCCCUGAAGACAGUACAUUUCCCAAUGAUCAAAUCAGAUAUUAAGAUCAGGUAUUAUAGACAUUGAUGAGCAGAAGAAAGAGGCCCUAAUCAGAUAUUCUGUGUUGAAGAAGACAGCUUCACAAGAUGGAAGGAGCCUACUCUAUGGCAGAAAACCACUACCUUGAGCCCCAGAAGAGCCUUCCACUUGCUGUUCCACUCAUAUCAGUCUCUCUUGGGGCAUCUCAAGACUUUCUAAAUCUACAGGAUCUUGCUUUAAGUCUAUAG